UUUCUUUUUUUCAGUUUGGUUUCUCUCUUUCUGAAGUUUACAAUCUAAAGCUCUCUUGUAUAUUGCUUGUGCAGGGACGAUUUGAAAUCCUUCCCCUUUCUGGUUCUUUCCUGCUCUCAGAGAGUGGUGGUCAACGUAGUGGAGGUGUGGCUGGGCUUGUAAGCGGCAGCCUCUCCUGUUCAGGUAGAGGAAGCUCUUCUUCUUCAACUCACACUGAACAUUUGAUGCUUUCUUCCUUUGUCUUCUUCUCUUUUUCAGCUCCUCUCCUCUCUUUUUUUCUUCUCAGACUACAAAUGCCAAGAAAGAAAUGUAAUCAAGGAAGGAAAAGAGAGAGAGAGAGAGAGAGAGAGAGACUAUGGUGUGGUGUGGAGAGAAGAGAGAGGAGGUAGGUUAUUUUCAAGAGAGAGAAAUGAGAGAUUUUGGAAUGUGUGAGAUAAACAUCAUGGAUGGCUAAAUCACAGCUCAAAGCCCACCGAAUUCUUCUUGUUCCCUCUUCGCCUCUUAUUGCUAUCAACUUCCUUUUUUCAAUCUUCCUUUUCCUCUCUCUCUCUCUCUCUCUGUCUCUCUCUCUCUCUCUAGCAAGGCUGACUUUAUUCCAUUUCCCACCCAACCCCACACGUUUAAAGUUUAGAAUUCCAAAAAUGAGCCUUUUAAAAAAUGGUCGGCAGCGGCCACGGCCGCUCCGGCGAGUGAUGCCGGCGACGAGAAUCGGUUGAUCUCGCGAUAUUUUGAGGAGAUUUUAACAGUGGAGUUGUUUGUUUUUUAUCUGUACAGGUGUUCUGUUCUGCACGCACGACUUUGAAAGAUAUAUUUGGCAUUGGAACUGAUCCCACAAGUAUACUUCUAGAAUGGAUGAUAGCAGAAAUUUUAAAGCAUCCAGAAGUAAUGAAAGAAGUUCAAGAGGAAGUAAGGGGGGGUCACAAGGCGCAAAGGGAAUAUUGCAGAUGUUGAUAUAAAACAAAUGCAUUAUUUGAAUGCAGUGAUUAAGGAGACACUAAGUCCGCAUCCUCCACUCCCUUUAUUGACUCCGCAUAAAUUGACAAAAAAUGUCAAUAUACAAGGAUUUGAUGUUCCAGCCAACACAAUGGUAAUAAUCAAUGCAUGGGCCAUUGAAAGGGACUUGUGUCCUAGGAUGAACCCGAGAAGUUCAAACCAAAGAGGUUUUUGAAUGAUGCCUCUGUUGAUUUUAAUACCCAUGCUGAUUUUUAUUUAAUUCCAUUUGGGAUAGGCAGGCGAGGAUGCCCAGGAGCUCAACUCGCUUUUGGCAUUGUUCAACUUGUAAUCGAUAAUCUUUUGCACAAGUUUGACUUGGAGAUCGAGUGGGCUGGACUUGGAUAUUAUAGAAGCUACCGAAAUAUCAAAUCAUUUAAACUAUCCUCUUCAGGCUCCUGUUACUCCGAAAAAUAUUUGUGGCUCACUAAUCAUUUGUAUUGACCCACAUAAAUAGAUUUUUUUUUCUUAGUAAUGAAAUAUUUGUAAAUUCUUAUAUAAAUCCAUGUGAUAUUAUUAGUGCUUC